rnacentral:lncRNA from 1 species
AAACGGCAAACAAAAGAACAGAACCAGGUUGUGGGUUCUAUUCCUGCAGAGGAGCCAGGCACCACCUUCGCUUCCCGGCGCCGGGCGCAGCGGGGCGGGGUUUCUGUCAAACCUGUUGUGGGUUGUCGGUGCGGAUCGUGGCGGUUCGCGUCUUGCUGGACCGUUCUGGUUUCUGGUGGCUCCUCCCGGCGGCCCGCGCAGCAUCUUACAGAGCUCAGUAAGAGGACGAUGAAGUGGAAAAAACAGGAUAGACGUUCUGACAGAAACAAGUCAGCAAGUUCAUUGCAGCACAACAUGGAAGAUCAAACAACACUCUGCAACAGCUCUGCAAUAAUGUAAAGAAACACAACUGCAAAUUACAUGAUGAAAGCAGAACUGUAUUGUAUUGUAUUGUAUUGUUACUGUACAAAGAGAAGGACAAGCAGUGAUGAGUGUGGACACUGCUGAAUGUAUGCCAACCAGUAGAUAUGAGAAGAACCUGGAUCUGGGGAAAUGAAGAAGAUGAAAUCACAGGGAAAGCAAACUAACAUGGAAGACGAACAGGAACUGUGUGUGAGCUAGAUUUUAAGAAAAGUCAAAACUCUGUUAAAGGAAAUCUUCAUCAAUUUUCAAUGGGGAUUAACCAAAACGAUGCCGGGUAAUAUUUAAGAAUGAAGGGACACUCAGAUUGCUCCAUAAUUUCCAUACAGAUAAAUUAUCAUUUAUUUCUCUGGUAAGACACCGUGGGCUCAAAAACUAAUAAUCCUCUGUACCUGCCCCAGCAAUGGCCAGGCUGAUAGGGGGCAGAGCCAUGAUGGGAGGGGGCGGAGCCAGUCUGCUGGAGUAAUACUGUUCUGUCCACCAUUGUUUUUCAUCGCAUACACGUACAGCACUAAUAUUCAACAGUCGGACAACCUGCUCCGGUUUAUUUAGAAGACAGCGAAUUUUAUAGUGUAACAGUCUGAUAUUCAGGGUUACUUGUAUGAUCUUGUAUGAUCCAGAGUACAGCCCAGAUGAGUUGCGCAGAGUGGGCAAAGCUGUCACAGCCGAAUAGCGCCUGCAAUGAGUUGACAGCAAGACAGCCGACAGCGGGGAGAUCCGACCAUGGGGCAGCUUACGGGAGCUGUGUUCAGUAGACAGCUGGUGGUCUGCACCGCACGCCGAUGUGAACAACUGAAUAUCCCUGUGCUGAAUUUCA